rnacentral:rRNA from 1 species
GACGAACGCUGGCGGCGUGCCUAAUACAUGCCAGUAGAACGCUGAAGGAGGAGCUUGCUUCUCUGGAUGAGUUGCGAACGGGUGAGUAACGCGUAGGUAACCUGCCUGGUAGCGGGGGAUAACUAUUGGAAACGAUAGCUAAUACCGCAUAAGAGUAGAUGUUGCAUGACAUUUACUUAAAAGUUGCAAUUGCAUCACUACCAGAUGGACCUGCGUUGUAUUAGCUAGUUGGUGAGGUAACGGCUCACCAAGGCAACGAUACAUAGCCGACCUGAGAGGGUGAUCGGCCACACUGGGACUGGGAAACGGCCCAGACUCCUACGGGAGGCAGCAGUAGGGAAUCUUCGGCAAUGGACGGAAGUCUGACCGAGCAACGCCGCGUGAGUGAAGAAGGGUUUCGGAUCGGAAAGCUCUGUUGUAAGAGAAGAACGAGUGUGAGAGUGGAAAGUUCACGUUGUGACGGUACCUUACCAGAAAGGGACGGCUAACUACGUG